rnacentral:rRNA from 16 species
AAGUACCGUGAGGGAAAGAUGAAAUAGCACCCUGGAUGAGGGGUUGAAAAAGGUCCUGAAAUCAUCAAGGUUUAAGCUUUUAAGGAUGUGUCCCACCACAGAUUGCUUCGUAGCUUCAUCAAUAGGAUGGACCUUAUAGCGUUAUCUGCUGGUAGACUGGCACCGGCUGGUAAACGACCAAGGAUCAAGGUUCGGUUACUUCUUAAUCGUAGACCUGUAAGAUUUCUUACGUUCAGUCGCUGAGACAAAGAGUGCUACCCCUGAUCCAUAAGCAAAUAUACUAUCGUAACGACGGAUACAGCGUUUGUAUACCGAUGACUGGGUAAAUACCCACAGCGGUGACAGGGGUUGUACAUAUUGUUCCUUACAUGGUAUAGAAGAUGGAUAACACAACAGGCUCGGAAGCACAAAUGCACAGUGAAACAUCCUUAACUGUCCCGUCUUGAAACACGGAC